GACGAACGCUGGCGGCAGGCCUAACACAUGCAAGUCGAGCGAGAAGUAUGUCUUCGGAUAUAUGGAGAGCGGCGGACGGGUGAGUAACGCGUGGGAACAUGCCCUUUGGUACGGGAUAACAUCUGGAAACGGGUGCUAAUACCGCAUAAGCCGGGACCUUUAUUGGUUUUGGGAAAGAUUUAUCGCCGAAGGAUUGGCCCGCGUUGGAUUAGAUAGUUGGUGAGGUAAUGGCUCACCAAGUCUACGAUCUAUAGCUGGUCUGAGAGGAUGAUCAGCCACACUGGGACUGAGACACGGCCCAG
rnacentral:rRNA from 1 species